rnacentral:rRNA from 1 species
UACGAAGGGGGCUGGCGUUGCUCGGAAUUACUGGGCGUAAAGCGCACGUAGGCGGUUUGUCGCGUCGGGAGUGAAAACACCGGGCUUAACUCGGUGCUUGCUUUCGAUACGGGCAGACUAGAGGCAUGCAGGGGAGAACGGAAUUCCUGGUGUAGCGGUGAAAUGCGCAGAUAUCAGGAGGAACACCGGUGGCGAAGGCGGUUCUCUGGGCCUGUACUGACGCUGAGGAGCGAAAGCGUGGGGAGCGAACAGG